AUGGGCAAGCACACGAUUCGCAUGCUUGCACUAGCAGCCCUAGUGUCUCUACAUCUCGUAUGCUCUGCCAGUGUUGCUCAAUGUCGAACCAUGAAUGGCAUGGAUAGCAAGAAGAUCAAUAUACCAUAUGGGCUAUGCGUUCAUAUAGCAGAUACCAAACUAUGCGGGAGCAAUGGGUGCUUCCAUUGUUUGACAAAUGACCUCCUCUACCCCACUAUGGAAAGGUGCAUGAGAGCGUGUAAGACACCCUCAUCUUUACAAGACAUGCUAGUGGCCAUGAGGACGUCCCCUCCUCGUCCUUUACCUACUCCUUAA
rnacentral:rRNA from 1 species